UUUUGACCUCAAAUCAGGUAGGACUACCCGCUGAACUUAAG
rnacentral:rRNA from 2 species